rnacentral:lncRNA from 1 species
UUUAAGUGUAAUUAAUUAUGGAUUUUAUCCCUUUCACAAGUCAAAUAUAUUAUGCUUGUUUUGCUUUUCCUUAAGAUGAAGUAUUUGCCUUUACUUAGAUUUUACUUCUCUUGAAUAAUAUCCAUUUUCUUUUCUUUAUCUCUCUCUCUUUUUGUUAUUCUCAAGUAAUUUACAUGAAAGAGCAGAAUAAAGAAUUAAUCUUAUGUAUCA